AAGUUGUUGAAGAUAGCCAUUCCACCC
rnacentral:piRNA from 1 species